AGGACUGUAGUUAAGUAUAACAUUUGGGUUGCAUUCAAAAAGUAUUGAUUAUCAAUCUGUCUUA
rnacentral:tRNA from 1 species